CAGCAGCCGCGGUAAUACGUAGGGUGCGAGCGUUAAUCGGAAUUACUGGGCGUAAAGCGUGCGCAGGCGGUUAUAUAAGACAGAUGUGAAAUCCCCGGGCUCAACCUGGGAACUGCAUUUGAGACUGUAUGGCUAGAGUGUGUCAGAGGGGGGUAGAAUUCCACGUGUAGCAGUGAAAUGCGUAGAUAUGUGGAGGAAUACCGAUGGCGAAGGCAGCCCCCUGGGAUAACACUGACGCUCAUGCACGAAAGCGUGGGGAGCAAACAGGAUUAGAUACCCCAGUAGUCCCUGUCUCUUAUAC
rnacentral:rRNA from 1 species